CAGCCGCCGCGGUAAUACGAGGGGGGCAAGCGUUGUUCGGAAUUAUUGGGCGUAAAGGGUGCGUAGGCGGCUUGACAAGUCUUGUGUGAAAUCUAUGGGCUCAACCCAUAGUCUGCACGGGAAACUGUCGGGCUUGAGAAUGGGAGAGGUGAGUGGAAUUUCCGGUGUAGUGGUGAAAUGCGUAGAUAUCGGAAGGAACACCUGUGGCGAAAGCGGCUCACUGGACAAUAACUGACGCUGAUGCACGAAAGCUAGGGGAGCAAACAGGAUUAGAGACCCGAGUAGUCCCUGUCUCUUAUAC
rnacentral:rRNA from 1 species